rnacentral:lncRNA from 1 species
CCAGACCCUUAAUUAUAAAUUUCCCAGUUUUCCGAAGCAGAACUCCAGCAAAAUGGCCGCAAAACCUGAGAACUCGAAUACAAAUUUAGAGCGCAAAGGGAAACUAAGUUUUGAUAAAUCACUAAGCUGUCCAAACGAAACCGGAGAAAAUCCCACUACAUUCAAAACUCACGUUUUUCGAGGGACUUUUGAAAACAAGAUGUUUGCCCGUAUACGACGGUAUGAAAAAGACAGUUUGAAAUUGAAUCUUAUGUGUCACACAAGAGAAACCCCACCAGGAGAAGGUAAAGCGAUCGAUGAAAUCCAAAGAGACAUCGACGUCCUUCAACAACCAAAGCAUCUACAAGAAAAUUUCAUUCGUUAUUUAUGUAGUGAAAAAGAUGACGACUUUUUGCAAUUAUGUCGCCACCGAGUGGUGCAUCUGUUCCGUGGAAGACCUCUACGAAGGUAAAGGCAACGGAUUCAACUGGGCGAAGGAGAAGAUUGACAAGGAACUAAUCAAGGAAUCACUGGGAGAAAAAGAAAUAUUACGACAAGCGGCCGAAGGACUUGCAUUUUUACAUGCGCUGGGGUUUGUCCACCGAAACCUAAAGCCCAGCAACUUUCUGAUCGCCCAGCUUCAACAGUUUCGUUGCGAUCGAUUUCACUACUUGGUCAAACUCUCGGAUUUUCGUAUGAGUAAAAAACCGAUUGAUUGUCCCAUUGUUUCUGACACGAAAGGGUCGAAAGGAUGGACCUACCCGAAACCGGCAACACUGAAUACCGAAGCAGAAACGUCGACCUAUACAAGCGCGGGGAUGUAUUUUUCCUUGGUUGCUUUUUUCAUUACGUUUUAACCAAAGGCAAACAUCCAUUCGGAGAUACCAACUCCAUCCGCGAAAGAAAUAUCAAUGAUCCUAAUCAUUUUGUGUAUCGCAAUGAUUGGAAUCCAAACAUUUUCGGAGAGAAUGAUGACCGACGAGCCGUCACUCUUCUAAAGGAUAUGAUUAAAUUCAAUCUGAAUGACAUAUGUGCUCUAGACAAAAUCUUUGGAUCGCGUUAUUUUUUACCGCAUAAUUUUUACAAGCUAUACGGUCUACCGGGUGUCAAACCGGGGCUGUGCGUCAUAUUUAACCAGGAGAAAUUUGAAAAUAAAUCCUUUCGCGAUGGAAGUCAUGUUGACAAAGAGUCCCUAAGGCGUGUGUUUAAAGAAUUUUGAUUUGACGUAAGAAUUUUUGAGGACUUGAAAGUUAAAAAUCUUUGCUAUAGCAUCGAAGAUUUGGCAAAGUAUGAUUUCUCUUCCUACGCCAGCCUCGUUGUUUGCAUCCUUUCGCAUAGAAAUGAAGGUGCCGUUGCAGGAGUUGAUGGUAAAAUAAUUAAGAUCAAUGAACUCAAGUAUAAAUUCAACAGCAACCACUGCCCCACCCUGAACGGCAAGCCGAAAAUUUGGAUUAUACAAGCGUGUCAGGGUAGUGGCAUUCAAUAUCCCAUACAACCAAAUAGUUGCCAAGGUUACACAUCCUCAAGUUCAGAUAGUGGAACGAACGUUUCGCAACAAGGUUUUACUGGAAUGCCAGUCCCGAUUAAGCAACGGAAAGUUUAAUUAAAUUUGAGGUAAAUGUUAUAAAUUAGGAUCGUAAUUUGAACAAUGAAUUAUCUACAUAAAGUAGAAUCACCGAAAGCAGAAAACUAAAAAAAACGGCCACCUUAAUUGAUGGAUUUUCUUGAUGUAAGAGCCUCUAUUCUUGGUUAUGCAUCACAUAUCGUCGCGGAGACGUUGGUAUAAUUUUGAUACUCGUGUUCUUUUCUUAUUUCAGUUUGUCAUUAGUAUAGCUUAUGAUUUGUCAACUUAUGUAAUCCAAGAUCUCACAUGAUUAUGUAUAUCUGUGCAGAGAAAUGGAAGAGGAAUAUUUGAACAGCAACACAUUAAACCGGGAACUAAAAUCAUUAAAAGAUAUUCUCAAAAACGUGCAAAACCAUAUAAGUUCUGCAAAUAUUAUAUGGAAAGACGAAAAUGGGGAAAAUACUGAAGUCAAGCAGACUAUGGAAUGGAGAGCGUCUAUGAGUGCCGAAUUGCAUUUAAGAAAGCCGAUACACCGGGUGUUGCAAGCUUUACUAGCUUAGAACGUUAAUAGUUCAUAUAAGUUUAUAACCUUAAUAUAAAUUACAAGUAGGCUAGAAAGAAUAUUUAAAUAUUUCUUUUCAUAUUCCUUUUUGGCCCAAUUUUUGUAUUAACUGACACAAGUGUGGAAUAACGUAGCCUGAGUAAGAAAAACCAUUUUAACCUUAUACUUUAAAGAUAAGAUAAGACUGGUUUUCGUUCAAAUUCCAUCUAAUAUAAUGUUUC